UACGUAGGGGGCAAGCGUUGUCCGGAAUUAUUGGGCGUAAAGAGCGCGUAGGCGGUCUGAUAAGUCGGUUGUGAAAGUCGGGGGCUCAACCCUCGGAUGCCGAUCGAUACUGUCAGGCUAGAGUCCGGAAGAGGCGAGUGGAAUUCCUGGUGUAGCGGUGAAAUGCGCAGAUAUCAGGAAGAACACCCGUGGCGAAGGCGGCUCUCUGGGACGUGACUGACGCUGAGACGCGAAAGCGUGGGGAGCAAACAGG
rnacentral:rRNA from 1 species